AGUUCGGAUUGUAGUCUGNAACCCGACUACAUGAAGCUGGAAUCGCUAGUAAUCGCAGAUCAGAAUGCUGCGGUGAAUACGUUCCCGGGUCUUGUACACACCGCCCGUCACACCAUGGGAGUUGGAAAUGCCCGAAGCCAGUGACCCAACCGUAAGGAGGGAGCUGUCGAAGGUGGAGCCGAUGACUGGGGUGAAGUCGUAACAAGGUACC
rnacentral:rRNA from 1 species